rnacentral:misc_RNA from 1 species
AACGAGGCCGACCUGCGGCUGAGUUACCUGCGGAAGGAUCAUUACAGGGGUUUUAAAUGCCAAGCUUUUGGGGGUGGAGCAUUUUUGCUCCCCCUCCGGGCGGCAUUUCAACCACCAUAAUUCACCGUGUGCACUCAUUGGACUAUGGAAUUUUUUUUCCUAGUUCCCAAUCUUUCUACGUCUUAUCAAUUGUCUGAUGUAUUUAAAUUUUGAUAAAAUACAACUUUCAACAACGGAUCU